rnacentral:rRNA from 1 species
GACGAACGCUGGCGGCGUGCUUAACACAUGCAAGUCGAGCGAUGAAGCUUCUUCGGAAGUGGAUUAGCGGCGGACAGGUGAGUAACACGUGGGUAACCUGCCUCAUAGAGGGGAAUAGCCUUUCGAAAGGAAGAUUAAUACCGCAUAAGAUUGUAGUAUCGCAUGGUACAGCAAUUAAAGGAGUAAUCCGCUAUGAGAUGGACCCGCGUCGCAUUAGCUAGUUGGUGAGGUAACGGCUCACCAAGGCGACGAUGCGUAGCCGACCUGAGAGGGUGAUCGGCCACAUUGGGACUGAGACACGGCCAAGACUCCUACGGGAGGCAGCAGUGGGGAAUAUUGCACAAUGGUGGAAACCCUGAUGCAGCAACGCCGCGUGAGUGAUGACGGUCUUCGGAUUGUAAAACUCUGUCUUCAGGGACGAUAAUGACGGUACCUGAGGAGGAAGCCACGGCUAACUACGUGCCAGCAGCCGCAGUAA